GUUCCCUGGAAGAACAGCCAAUGCUGUUGACUUGGUCUUGCCUCACCACCUGUCUUUCCUCAGUCCAUGAGUGUUGCCUUAGCAAAACUCCACGUGCGUCUUUAUCUGACAUCGUUCUAUCGGUCAGAGUCUUUGGAAGAGGCAAGAAGCCGCAGGAAUCUCUCCAUUUAUUUCUCUCUAUGAGUCUUGACCAUUGGAGCUCAACAACGCAUGUAAAGUGAACCAAUACAUGUGUGUCAUUAUCGAA